rnacentral:rRNA from 1 species
UACGUAGGGUGCAAGCGUUGUCCGGAAUUAUUGGGCGUAAAGAGCUUGUAGGCGGUUUGUCGCGUCUGCUGUGAAAUUUCGGGGCUCAACCCCGAACUUGCAGUGGGUACGGGCAGACUAGAGUGUGGUAGGGGAGACUGGAAUUCCUGGUGUAGCGGUGAAAUGCGCAGAUAUCUGGAGGAACACCGGUGGCGAAGGCGGCAUCCUGGACCGGCAUUGACGCUGAGGCGCGAAAGCCAGGGGAGCAAACGGG